rnacentral:rRNA from 1 species
ACGUAGGGUGCGAGCGUUAAUCGGAAUUACUGGGAGUAAAGCGUGCGCAGGCGGUUUUGUAAGACAGAUGUGAAAUCCCCGGGCUCAACCUGGGACCUGCAUUUGUGACUGCAAGGCUAGAGUACGGUAGAGGGGGAUGGAAUUCCGCGUGUAGCAGUGAAAUGCGUAGAUAUGCGGAGGAACACCGAUGGCGAAGGCAAUCCCCUGGACCUGUACUGACGCUCAUGCACGAAAGCGUGGGGAGCAAACAGGAUUAGAUACCCUGGUAGUCCACGCCCUAAACGAUGUCAACUGGUUGUUGGGUCUUUACUGACUCAGUAACGAAGCUAACGCGUGAAGUUGACCGCCUGGGGAGUACGGCCGCAAGGUUG